UACGUAGGGUCCGAGCGUUGUCCGGAAUUACUGGGCGUAAAGGGCUCGUAGGCGGCCAACUAAGUCGGACGUGAAAUCCCUCGGCUUAACCGGGGAACUGCGUCCGAUACUGGAUGGCUUGAGUUUGGGAGAGGGAUGCGGAAUUCCAGGUGUAGCGGUGAAAUGCGUAGAUAUCUGGAGGAACACCGGUGGCGAAGGCGGCAUCCUGGACCAACACUGACGCUGAGGAGCGAAAGCCAGGGGAGCAAAGCGGGG
rnacentral:rRNA from 1 species